CUAGAAUAAGCUACAAAACAACACAAAGAUGGGCCAAUCAGACCCCCAAGAUUUGCAUCCUGCACCGAGCUCAGCUAUCCGCCCUCGGAUGUGCACCGGGGAACCUUUCCCAUUGAAGGGUCGACAUCAAGCAUGCCCCCACAAACCCAACAGUCGAGAGAUAUUCUCAGCUCCAAACACUGCAUUGUCUGCCCCACUCCGAGAUGGAUCUG
rnacentral:lncRNA from 1 species